rfam:Enterococcus faecium DO plasmid 3, complete sequence.
GUAUUUGUGAGAAGAUGACGGAAGAAAUCCUGUAUCAAAGACUUGGUUCAACGAGCAGAAAUCUGAUAGUAAGUCUCGGUCAUUCAAUGGGAAUAAGCCAUUGAACACCUUGAUGGUAUCCUGUAAGAAAGAACCUCAAGGACUUUCAGCAAGAAGAAGGAAUAGCUGAAAACAAAAAAAGGUGUAGUA